rnacentral:tRNA from 1 species
GGUGGCUCAGAAGUAGAGUGCUUGCCUUGCAUGCAUGAGUCCCUGGGUUCGAUUCCUCAGCACCA